CCCAUUCAGGGGAUAUAGGACUUGAUGAGUCAACAGAGACAGUUAACAGGUUGAGGAUGGAUAUUUAUAUCUACAGAUGCUUCUGUUCAGUUUGGAUGUCUGUCCUUGUGGGUCUCCCCACUGUGCCUCCAGAGAGCACAUUAAGCAGUCCGUCCUCAUUGUUAUCAAAAAUACCCGAUAACAAUCAUUACUCAUAGCAGGGAAAAUAUCUGCCAAUUCACAGUGGAGCAGUGAAAUGGGUUUAAUCCUUCUCCUACAUGGAGAAAGAGGCCUAUACCCAGCAAUGGGAUGUAAAAGGCUGAAUCUAUGUGUGCUACUGAUGUAAUAAUGAUCAUUUUUUAAUAAAUAAAAUAUAAAAGACUGUUUUAAUAUUUUUUUAUUGACAUUAAGCAAUAAGUCUACGAAGAUGCAACAGCUUUCUUAGGUGUAGGUUUUCCUUCCUUGAAACCGUUGCGGAAACGCCUUCUAACAAUUUUAAGAUGACGCAUGCGGCCUGUUCCUGUAGUCUUCCUGCGUUUAAUCUCAAUUUAGCUGCAGGAUAACCACAUUGAGCACAUUUCGAUUUUUGGAUAUGAUAUGAAGAUCUUCCACAUCUUCUGCACAGUGUAUGUGUCUUAUUUCGGCGUUUACCGAAGCUUGAUGUACCUUUCGUCUGAAAUAUUUACCAAAAGGUUAUUUUUCCCACCACUCAUUAAAACAAAAAUAUACAUUAACUAUAAAUAAUUAUAUUAUCCGAAAGCGUUUAGCUUGAGUACUCCACAAUUGUAUGUCAUAUUUUAAAUGAUAUUUCAGGAUUUUAUUUUAAAAUUAAAAAAAUACUCUACCAUUUUGUCGGAAUUUGACAAUCAAAGACCGAUGAAAGAAAAGUAAAGAUGUUGCUAGUUAAUAUCUGUGGGCCAGUGUUGCAUUAUAAAUAAA
rnacentral:misc_RNA from 1 species